rnacentral:ncRNA from 1 species
GGGUUCAGAACGUCGUGAGACAGUUCGGUCCCUAUCUGUCGCGGGCGCAGGAAGUUUGAGGAGAGCUGUCCUUAGUACGAGAGGACCGGGAUGGACGCACCGCUGGUGCACCAGUUGUCACGCCAGUGGCACAGCUGGGUAGCUAUGUGCGGAAGGGAUAAGCGCUGAAAGCAUCUAAGCGUGAAGCCCCCUCCAAGAUGAGACUUCCCACAGCGUUAAGCUGGUAAGACCCCUCAUAGACGAUGAGGUUGAUAGGUUCGGUGUGGAAGCGCGGCAACGCGUGGAGCUGACGAAUACUAAUCGGUCGAGGACUUAUCCAC